rnacentral:rRNA from 1 species
GAUGAACGCUGGCGGCGUGCCUAAUACAUGCAAGUCGAGCGAACAGACGAGGAGCUUGCUCCUCUGACGUUAGCGGCGGACGGGUGAGUAACACGUGGAUAACCUACCUAUAAGACUGGGAUAACUUCGGGAAACCGGAGCUAUUACCGGAUAAUAUAUUGAACCGCAUGGUUCAAUAGUGAAAGACGGUUUUGCUGUCACUUAUAGAUGGAUUCGCGCCGCAUUAGCUAGUUGGUAAGGUAACGGCUUACCAAGGCAACGAUGCGUAGCCGACCUGAGAGGGUGAUCGGCCACACUGGAACUGAGACACGGUCCAGACUCCUACGGGAGGCAGCAGUAGGGAAUCUUCCGCAAUGGGCGAAAGCCUGACGGAGCAACGCCGCGUGAGUGAUGAAGGUCUUCGGAUCGUAAAACUCUGUUAUUAGGGAAGAACAAAUGUGUAAGUAACUAUGCACGUCUUGACGGUACCUAAUCAGAAAGCCACGGCUAACUACGUGCCAGCAGCCGCAGUAA